CAGUAGCACGGUAAUACGAAGGGGGCUAGCGUUGCUCGGAAUGACUGGGCGUAAAGGGCGCGUAGGCGGCGAUCAAAGUCAGGCGUGAAAUUCCUGGGCUCAACCUGGGGGCUGCGCUUGAUACUUGGUUGCUUGAGUGGGGAAGAGGGUCGUGGAAUUCCCAGUGUAGAGGUGAAAUUCGUAGAUAUUGGGAAGAACACCGGUGGCGAAGGCGGCAACCUGGUCCUUGACUGACGCUGAGGCGCGAAAGCGUGGGGAGCAAACAGGAUUAGAUACCCGGGUAGUCCCUGUCUCUUAUACA
rnacentral:rRNA from 1 species